GACGAACGCUGGCGGCGUGCUUAACACAUGCAAGUCGAACGGAAAGGCCCUGCUUUUGUGGGGUGCUCGUGUGGCGAACGGGUGAGUAUCACGUGAGUAACCUGCCCUUUACUUUGGGAUAACUUCAGGAAACUGGGGCUAAUACCGGAUAGGAGCUCCUGCUGCAUGGUGGGGGUUGGUAAGUUUCGGCGGUUGGGGAUGGACUCGCGGCUUAUCAGCUUGUUGGUGGGGUAGUUGCUUACCAAGGCUUUGACGGGUAGCCGGCAUGAGAGGGUGACCGGCAACAUUGGGACGGAGAUAAGGCCCAGAAGACUACGGGAGGCAGCAGGGGGGAAUAUUGCAAAAUGGGAGGAAGCCUGAUGCAGAAACGCAGCGGGCGGGAUGACGGCCGUCGGGUGGUAAACAGCUUGCGCAUGUGACGAAGAGUGAGUGACGGUAAUGGGUAAAGGAGCAACGGCUAACUACGUG
rnacentral:rRNA from 1 species